AAGAUAUUAGUAUAAGCUAGUACUUAACUUUGUCAAAGUUAUAGCAUAGAUUAACCAUCUAUAUAUCUUA
rnacentral:tRNA from 1 species